rnacentral:rRNA from 1 species
UACAGGAGGAGCCAAGCGUUUGUCCGGGAUUGACUGGGCGUAAAGCGCACGCAGGCGGGUCGCCGCGCGUGGGGUGGUGAAAUCUGGCCGCUUAACGGCCAGGCGCCAUCCCAUACGGCGUGACUGGAGGGCUGCAGAGGUCGAUGGAAUUGCCGGUGUAGUGGUGAAAUGCGUGAGAGAUCGGGCAGGAACACCCAGGGGGAAACCAGUCGACUGGGCAGCACCUGGACGCUGAGGUGCGAGAGCGUGGGGAGCGAACCGG